GCCCAACAUAGUCACUGAGUUAUAACCAGACAAGGAACCAGAAGGCCCAACAUAGUCACUGAGUUAUAACCAGACAGGGAACCAGAAGGCCCAACAUAGUUACUGAGUUAUAACCAGACAAGGAACCAGAAGGCCCAACAUAGUCACUGAGUUAUAACCAGAAAAGGAACCAGAAGUCACUGGGUUAUAGCCAGCCAGACAGGGAACCAGAAGUCCCAUCCUAGUCUUGUGGAACCAGACAGGUGUGUCUAAAUAAAUCUGGCUGUGCAAGUUAACGCCAGACUAAUAUUUGUUUUCUAAAUAAUUAUCAUAACGCAAGUUAUUUUUCUUGGGGUUGAUUGAGCUUUAUUUAAACAGGAGAAUUAUGAAUGAUUCAUUUCUGGGAGAAAUAGUGUGGUUAGGUUGAAGUCUGUCAGGCGAGGCUUGGGCUUGUUGCUUUGGAGACCCAUCAAACCACCUCUGCUGCUCCUCGCACAGCGAUUGUUGAACAACCAACACAUUGGAUGCAUCCAAAAUGGCACCGUUUUUCCUAUAUAGUGCACUAUGUUUAACACGGACCUGACGGUCAACAGUAAUGCAUUAAAUAGGGAAUAGGGCUUCAUUUCAGAUGCAGCCGUUGUCAUUCUCCAAGGGACUGUUGCUGCUGUCAUCGUGGCAAUAGGCUGAUCCCCUCACAACUUACAGUCCUAUCUUAUCUAUCUCUGUAUAUAUGUACUGUAUGUAUGUAUUAUAAAUUAAUAUUAACCAGGAGAACUCUCUGGAAGAUGUUGAAACCACUAGAGGUGUUCAGGGGUGGGUUUGAAAAUGUACCAUCUCUGUGAGAGCCUAUUGGUCGAUUUUACCUUGGGAAAAGCUGAGGUCAUUAAUGAUUCAAGCUUUCUAUCAGAGACUACCCUCAACUUUCAGACAGUUUUAAUCAGUUUCUAGAAGAGAAACGGAAUUGAAUAUUACACUCUUAGAAAAAAGGGUUCCAAAAGGCUUAUUUGGCUGUGCCCAUAGGAGAACCCUUUUGGGUUCCAAGUAGAACCCUUUUUGGUUCCAUUUUGAAUCCAGGUAGAACCGUUUUGGCAACCCAAAAAGUUUCUACCUGGAACCAAAAAGGGUACUUCAAAGGGUUAUCCUAUGGGGACAGCUGAAGAACCUUUUUCGGUUCUAUAUAGCACCUUUUGUGUAGAUGGGCCAACCUAUGGGACCUCAUGUAGAUAAUAUUACCAGAACGUACUGACUGGAAAGCCUUGGAACUGUUCUAUGUUAUAGAAUGAAUCUAUAAUAUAGAUAGAAUGGUUCUCCACUACAACAAAUGCAAACUAUUAUUCCAGGACCCAUUGUCCAACCUUUGAGCGCAGUUCUUGUUUUAACCACAGCAGGUCCCUCUUCCUCUGUACAAGACAAGACAUAUCCUUGUACAUUCUGGUAGAGCACUGAACUGAGUUUUAACCACAGCAGGUCCCUCUUCCUCUGUAAAAGACAAGACA
ensembl:lncRNA